UAUUAGUCAAUGGCCUAACGGCUGAACUGGCAACUUGGAGAAGUGGCAAGUCUUCCAGUAUGGGGAGCAAACAGCUAUGGGUCAAGCCCGAUACCUUUAAGAGAAGUCUUAUUGUGAGGGCGAGUUGUAAAACACCAUAGGGCUGGCCGUCCCAUAUGAAAAGAUUUUAUUAGAAUUGAAUGAAACUUUGUUUAUAUAUUGAUAAUGACAGUAUAUAUAUCGUGUCUUGACUAAUUGCGUGCCAGCAGUCGCGGUAAUACGUAAGAGACUAGUGUUAUUCAUCUUAAUUAGGUUUAAAGGGUACCCAGACGGUCUAUAUAGCUUAUAAAAUGUUAGUAUAAGACUAGAGUUUUAUGUAAGAGGGCAGUACUUGAGGAGGAGAGAUGAAAUUUCGUGAUACCAAAGGGACUCUGUAAAGGCGAAGGCAGCCCUCUAUGUAAAAACUGACGUUGAAGGACGAAGGCACAGAGAACAAACAGGAUUAGAUACCCAAGUAGUCUUUGCAGUAAAUGAUGAAUGCCAUAGGUUAGAUUAUUUCUUAUAAUAAUAUAGUGCAGCAGAAAUUUUUAUCUGGUCUAUAAAUGAAAGUGUAAGCAUUUCACCUCAAGAGUAAUGUGGCAACGCAGGAACUGAAAUCA
rnacentral:rRNA from 1 species